GGUUGCGAUCAUACCAGCACUAAUGCACCGGAUCCCAUCAGAAAGUACUAGGAUGGGUGACCCCCUGGGAAGUCCUCGUGUUGCAACCC
rnacentral:rRNA from 1 species